GACGAACGCUGGCGGCGUGCUUAACACAUGCAAGUCGAACGCUGAAGACCUGGCUUUUGUUGGGUUGGAUGAGUGGCGAACGGGUGAGUAACACGUGAGUAACCUGCCCCCUUCUUUGGGAUAACGCCCGGAAACGGGUGCUAAUACUGGAUAUUCACUGGCCUUCGCAUGGGGGUUGGUGGAAAGGUUUGUUCUGGUGGGGGAUGGGCUCGCGGCCUAUCAGCUUGUUGGUGGGGUGAUGGCCUACCAAGGCUUUGACGGGUAGCCGGCCUGAGAGGGUGGACGGCCACAAGGGGACUGAGAUACGGCCCUUACUCCUACGGGAGGCAGCAGUGGGGAAUAUUGGACAAUGGGGGCAACCCUGAUCCAGCAAUUCUGUGUGCACGAUGAAGGUUUUCGGAUUGUAAAGUGCUUUCAGCAGGGAAGAAAAAAAUGACGGUACCUGCAGAAGAAGCGACGGCUAAAUACGUGCCAGCAGCCGCGGUAAUACGUAUGUCGCAAGCGUUAUCCGGAAUUAUUGGGCAUAAAGGGCAUCUAGGCGGCCAGAUAAGUCUGGGGUGAAAACUUGCAGCUCAACCGCAAGCCUGCCCUGGAAACUAUGUGGCUAGAGUACUGGAGAGGUGGACGGAACUGCACGAGUAGAGGUGAAAUUCGUAGAUAUGUGCAGGAAUGCCGAUGAUGAAGAUAGUUCACUGGACGGUAACUGACGCUGAAGUGCGAAAGCUAGGGGAGCAAACNGG
rnacentral:rRNA from 1 species